AGGUCUCCGUUGGUGAACCAGCGGAGGGAUCAUUAUCGAGUUUACAACUCCCAAACCCUUAUGUGAACAUACCUACUGUUGCUUCGGCGGACUCGCCCCGGCGUCCGGACGGCCUCGCGCCGCCCGCGGCCCGGACCCAGGCGGCCGCCGGAGACCCACAAACUCUGUAUUAUCAGCAUCUUCUGAAUUCGCCGCAAGGCAAAACAAAUGAAUCAAAACUUUCAACAACGGAUCUCUUGGUUCUGGCAUCGAUGAAGAACGCAGCGAAAUGCGAUAAGUAAUGUGAAUUGCAGAAUUCAGUGAAUCAUCGAAUCUUUGAACGCACAUUGCGCCCGCCAGCAUUCUGGCGGGCAUGCCUGUUCGAGCGUCAUUUCAACCCUCGACUUCCCCUCGGGGAAAUCGGCGUUGGGGAACGGCAGCAUACCGCCGUCCCCGAAAUGGAGUGGCGGCCCGUCCGCGGCGACCUCUGCGUAGUAAUCCAACUCGCACCGGAACCCCGACGUGGCCACGCCGUAAAACACCCAACUUCUGAACGUUGACCUCGGAUCAGGUAGGAAUACCCGCUGAACUUAAGCAUAUCAAUAAGCGGAGGAAAAGAAACCAACAGGGAUUGCCCCAGUAACGGCGAGUGAAGCGGCAACAGCUCAAAUUUGAAAUCUGGCCCUUGGGUCCGAGUUGUAAUUUGUAGAGGAUGCUUUUGGCGAGGUGCCUUCCGAGUUCCCUGGAACGGGACGCCAUAGAGGGUGAGAGCCCCGUCUGGUCGGACACCGAGCCUCUGUAAAGCUCCUUCGACGAGUCGAGUAGUUUGGGAAUGCUGCUCAAAAUGGGAGGUAUAUGUCUUCUAAAGCUAAAUAUUGGCCAGAGACCGAUAGCGCACAAGUAGAGUGAUCGAAAGAUGAAAAGCACUUUGAAAAGAGGGUUAAAAAGUACGUGAAAUUGUUGAAAGGGAAGCGCCUAUGACCAGACUUGGGCCCGGUGAAUCAUCCAGCGUUCUCGCUGGUGCACUUUGCCGGGCACAGGCCAGCAUCAGUUUGGCGCGGGGGAAAAAGGUUUUGGGAAUGUGGCUCCCUCGGGAGUGUUAUAGCCCAUUGCGUAAUACCCUGCGCCGGACUGAGGUACGCGCAUUGCAAGGAUGCUGGCGUAAUGGUCAUCACCGACC
rnacentral:rRNA from 1 species